CUGAGAAAUAGCUACCACUUCUACGGAGGGCAGCAGGCGCGCAAAUUGCCCAAUGUCAAAAAAAAACGAUGAGGCAGCGAAAAGAAAUAGAGCCGGCAGUGCCAAUGGCAUUGCCGUUUUCAAUGGGGGAUAUCUAAACCCAUCCAAAAUCGAGUAUCAAUUGGAGGACAAGUCUGGUGCCAGCACCCGCGGUAAUUCCAGCUCCAAAAGCGUAUAUUAAUGCUGUUGCUGUUAAAGGGUUCGA
rnacentral:rRNA from 1 species